GCACUCUUUUGCAGUACAUAUACUAAAAAUGGAGCAAUACAGAGAAAAUCAUAGCCCCUAUGCAAGGAUGACACAAAUUCAUGAAGUGGGGCUGGGAAUGUGG